rfam:Bacillus endophyticus strain Hbe603, complete genome.
AGACCCUUUAACAUCAGUCCUGUGAGGCUGAGAAGGAAACGGACCGCAGAUGCAGCAGGCGUCUGCAAGCUUACUAUACCCGGCAUCCUCUCAGUCACGGACAAAGAGGAUGCUUUUUUU